rnacentral:pre_miRNA from 1 species
AUCGUUGAUCUGGGUGAGAGAUACGCGUAUCCAAUGCUUAGAUACGGGUCGCUCUCACCUAGGCUAGUGUUGC